rnacentral:rRNA from 1 species
CCUACGGGCGGCAGCAGUGGGGGAUAUUGCACAAUGGGGGGAACCCUGAUGCAGCGACGCCGCGUGGGUGAAGAAGGGCCUCGGAGCGUAAAGCCCUGUCAGCAGGGAAGAAAAUGCCGGUACCUGAAGAAGAAGCCCCGGCUAACUACGUGCCAGCAGCCGCGGUAAUACGUAGGGGGCAAGCGUUAUCCGGAUUUAAUGGGUGUAAAGGGGGCGCAGACGGCGAGGCAAGUCAGGAGUGAAAGCCCGGGGGCCAACCCCGGGACUGCUCUUGGAACUGCGUGGCUGGAGUGCAGGAGGGGCAGGCGGAAUUCCUGGUGUAGCGGUGAAAUGCGUAGAUAUCAGGAGGAACACCGGUGGCGAAGGCGGCCUGCUGGACUGCAACUGACGUUGAGGCCCGAAAGCGUGGGGAGCAAACAGGAUUAGAUACCCUAGUAGUC